UACAGAGGUCUCAAGCGUUGUUCGGAUUCAUUGGGCGUAAAGGGUGUGUAGGUGGCGCUGUAAGUCGGGUGUGAAAUCUCGGGGCUUAACUCCGAAACUGCAUUCGAUACUGCGGUGCUUGAGGACUGGAGAGGAGACUGGAAUUCAUGGUGUAGCAGUGAAAUGCGUAGAGAUCAUGAGGAAGACCAGUGGCGAAGGCGGGUCUCUGGGCCACUACUGACGCUGAGAAGCGAAAGCAUGGGGAGCGAACAGG
rnacentral:rRNA from 1 species